GCGGAUGUAGCCAAGUGGAUCAAGGCAGUGGAUUG
rnacentral:tRNA from 12 species